AGAGAAUAGAUACCCCGGUAGUCUUGGCCAUAAACGAUGUUCACUAGGUGUUGGGGGUUUCCCUCGGUGCCGCAGCUAAACGCAUUAAAGUGAACCGCCUGGGGACUACGGCCGCAAGGUUGAAACUCAAAGGAAUUGGCGGGGGCCCGCACAAGCGGUGGAGCAUAUGGCUUAAUUCGAUGCAACGCGAAGAACCUUACCAGGACUUGACAUGCUACUGCAAGCCGCCGAAACGUGGUCGCCUUCGAGGGUGUAGCACAGGUGGUGCAUGGCUGUCGUCAGCUCGUGUUGUGAAAUGUUGGGUUAAGUCCCGCAACGAGCGCAACCCUCAUGAUCUGUUGCCAGCGAGUAAAGUCGGGAACUCGGAUCAAACCGCCUCUGUAAAGAGGAGGAAGGUGGGGAUGACGUCAAGUCAUCAUGCCCCUUACGUCCUGGGCUGCACAUAUGCUACAAUGGCCGGUACAAAGAGUUGCUAGGGCGCGAGCUCAUGCUAAUCUCAAAAAGCCGGUCUCAGUUCGG
rnacentral:rRNA from 1 species